UACAGAGGUCUCAAGCGUUGUUCGGAUUCACUGGGUUUAAAGGGUGUGUAGGCGGAUAUUUAAGUCCGAGGUGAAAUCUCUGAGCUCAACUCAGAAACUGCCUUGGAUACUAUUUAUCUUGAAUAUCGUUGAGGUAGGCGGAAUAUGUCAUGUAGCGGUGAAAUGCUUAGAUAUGACAUAGAACACCGAUUGCGAAGGCAGCUUGCUAAACGAUUAUUGACGCUGAGGCACGAAAGCGUGGGGAUCAAACAGG
rnacentral:rRNA from 1 species